AUGUUUUUAUGGGACGAGAAGACCCUAUAGAGUUUAACAUUUAUCUUGUUUUUUUUGUGUUUGUAUUUAUAUAUAAGUUGGAUUAAUGUUUUGUUGGGGUGAUGGGAGGAAUAUUUUUAACUCCUCUUUAUUUUUUUAUAUUUAUUUAUAGUUUUUGUUUGAUCCAUUUAUUAUGAUUGUAAGAUUAAAUUACCUUAGGGAUAACAGCGUUAUCUUCCUUGAGAGUUCUUAUUGGCAGGGGGGUUUGCGACCUCGAUGUUGGAUUAAGAUGAAUUUUUGGUGCAGGAGCUAAAAUUGAUUGGGUCUGUUCGACCUUUAAAAUCUUACAUGAUCUGAGUUCAGACCGGCGUGAGCCAGGUUGGUUUCUAUCUAUAAAUAGUGUUUUAUAUCUUAGUACGAGAGGACCGGGUAU
rnacentral:rRNA from 1 species